UCGCUUGUGGGCGUGCUGGCAGGAUAGGGCAGCGUCUUCAGUUGCGCGUCAAGAAUUCUGCAUACAGUAGCAGUUUGUAUGAAGGUGUGGUUAUUCACAGGCAAAUUGUUAUAUGCUAUGGAGGUAGAUUUGUGUCUUUUUGUCGAAAUCAAAAAUGAUUGUUCUGACAGCAAUUUUUCCCCGACAGAAAAGGAAGUCAAAGCGGACACCUACGAAGAUGGCAUCUCAGAGAGCGAGCAGAUUUACAGCCAUUUUCACUGGACUAUCUGUUGCUGCAAAAUCAUGGGUUAACCUUACAAUAACCAAGUGGUUAUAUCAGCUGUUUUGUUGAACCUCUCCCGCAUCUGAACUGGCUGACAGAGGGCACAGCCUGAUCAUAGGUAUGUUUUGAUGUGAGAGGAAUCCAGUCCCGACAGCGCAAUUGUGAUGAACUGAGAGAAUAUUAGGGUAGCACUGUCAUUCAUGAAUCAUGUGCUAUCUGCCGCUGUUCUUACCUCUCGCCCCACCUCAUCUUCUAAUGCACACCAUAUGUGCAUUGAAGUACAGAUUUGCCUACCAUUUUUUUUUUUUACUAGGCAAGUCAGAUAAGAAUGACGGCCUAGGAACUGCCUUGUUCAGGGACAGAAGGACAGACCUUGUCGGCUCGGGGAUUCGAUCUUGCAACCUUCCGGUUACUAGUCCACCUACCCGCCCAAGAUUGAACUUGUAUUUAUAAUAUUACAAUUAAAAUGCACUUCUUUCAAUAAAGCGUUUCACAUUC